CCUACGGGAGGCAGCAGUAAGGAAUAUUGGUCAAUGGAGGCAACUCUGAACCAGCCAUGCCGCGUGCAGGAAGACUGCCCUAUGGGUUGUAAACUGCUUUUAUCCGGGAAUAAACCUGCUUACGUGUAAGUAGCUGAAUGUACCGGAAGAAUAAGGAUCGGCUAACUCCGUGCCAGCAGCCGCGGUAAUACGGAGGAUCCAAGCGUUAUCCGGAUUUAUUGGGUUUAAAGGGUGCGUAGGCGGCCUGUUAAGUCAGGGGUGAAAGACGGUAGCUCAACUAUCGCAGUGCCCUUGAUACUGAUGGGCUUGAAUGGACUAGAGGUAGGCGGAAUGAGACAAGUAGCGGUGAAAUGCAUAGAUAUGUCUCAGAACACCGAUUGCGAAGGCAGCUUACUAUGGUCUUAUUGACGCUGAGGCACGAAAGCGUGGGGAUCAAACAGGAUUAGAUACCCUGGUAGUCCACGCCCUAAACCGAUGAACACUCGCUGUUGGCGAUACACAGUCAGCGCGUAGACGAAGACGUUAGUGUUCCNCCGUGGGAGGUACGCCCGCGAGGUAGAACGUACGAAGUAAGUUAGUACGGACGUGAGACGUUGCCGACGGACGACGACGAGGGAGGAGGG
rnacentral:rRNA from 1 species